CAAGAGUGGGGGAUAACGUAGCGAAAGUUACGCUAAUACCGCAUACGAUCUAAGGAUGAAAGCAGGGGAUCUUCGGACCUUGUGCUCCUGGAGCGGCCGAUAUCUGAUUAGCUAGUUGGUGAGGUAAAGGCUCACCAAGGCUACGAUCAGUAGCUGGUCUGAGAGGACGACCAGCCACACUGGAACUGAGACACGGUCCAGACUCCUACGGGAGGCAGCAGUGGGGAAUUUUGGACAAUGGGCGAAAGCCUGAUCCAGCAAUGCCGCGUGAGUGAAGAAGGCCUUCGGGUUGUAAAGCUCUUUUGUCAGGGAAGAAACGGUGAGGGCUAAUAUCCCUCGCUAAUGACGGUACCUGAAGAAUAAGCACCGGCUAACUACGUGCCAGCAGCCGCGGUAAUACGUAGGGUGCAAGCGUUAAUCGGAAUUACUGGGCGUAAAGCGUGCGCAGGCGGUUUUGUAAGUCUGACGUGAAAUCCCCGG
rnacentral:rRNA from 1 species